rnacentral:rRNA from 1 species
GUACACACCGCCCGUCACACCAUGGGAGUUGGUCAUACCCUAAGACGGCUGCGCUAACCGCAAGGAGGCAGCCGGYCACGGUAUGGUCAGCGACUGGGGUGAAGUCGUAACAAGGUAGCYGUAGGUGAACCUGCAGAAGGAUCA